GCCUACGGGGCGCAGCAGUGAGGAAUAUUGGUCAAUGGCCGGAAGGCUGAACCAGCCAUGCCGCGUGAAGGUCAGUGCCCUAUGGGCGUUAAACUUCUUUUGUGCGGGAGCAAUAAUGGUCACGUGUGGCCAGACGAGAGUACCGUACGAAUAAGCAUCGGCUAACUCCGUGCCAGCAGCCGCGGUAAUACGGGGGAUGCAAGCGUUAUCCGGAUUUACUGGGUGUAAAGGGCGCGUAGGCGGGAUGGCAAGUCAGAUGUGAAAUCCAGGGGCUCAACCCCUGAACUGCAUUUGAAACUGUCGUU
rnacentral:rRNA from 1 species